UACAGAGGUCCCAAGCGUUGUUCGGAUUCAUUGGGCGUAAAGGGCUCGUAGGCGGCCAACUAAGUCGGACGUGAAAUCCCCAGGCUCAACCUGGGAACUGCGUCCGAUACUGGAUGGCUUGAAUCCGGGAGAGGGAUGCAGAAUUCCAGGUGUAGCGGUGAAAUGCGUAGAUAUCUGGAGGAAUACCGGUGGCGAAGGCGGCAUCCUGGACCGGUAUUGACGCUGAGGCGCGAAAGCCAGGGGAGCAAACGGG
rnacentral:rRNA from 1 species